rnacentral:rRNA from 2 species
GGACUACCCGGGUUUCUAAUCCUGUUUGCUCCCCAUGCUUUCGCACCUCAGCGUCAGUAUUAGGCCAGAAGGCUGCCUUCGCCAUCGGUAUUCCUCCAGAUCUCUACGCAUUUCACCGCUACACCUGGAAUUCUACCUUCCUCUCCCAUACUCUAGCUCGCCAGUAUCGAAUGCAAUUCCCAAGUUGAGCUCGGGGAUUUCACAUUUGACUUAACGAACCGCCUACGCGCGCUUUACGCCCAGUAAUUCCGAUUAACGCUCGCACCCUCUGUAUUACCGCGGCGGCUGGCAC